UACGUAGGGUGCAAGCGUUGUCCGGAAUUAUUGGGCGUAAAGAGCUCGUAGGCGGUUCGGUAAGUCCGCUGUAAAAGUCCAGGGCUCAACCCUGGAAAGCCGGUGGAAACUGUCGAACUAGAGUCCGGAAGAGGCGAGUGGAAUUCCUGGUGUAGCGGUGAAAUGCGCAGAUAUCAGGAGGAACACCAAUGGCGAAGGCAGCUCGCUGGGACGGUACUGACGCUGAGACGCGAAAGCGUGGGGAGCAAACAGG
rnacentral:rRNA from 1 species